rnacentral:tRNA from 1 species
GCCUGGGUGGCUCAGUCGGUUAAGUGUCUGACUUCAGCUCAGGUCAUGAUUUCACGGUUUGUGGGUUCGAGCCCCGCGUCGGGCU